GUGCAAGUGGAGCUGUGCUUUGCUUACAACCAGAGUGCCGGGAACCCCAACUACAGGCGAAACAUCAGUGAGUGCUGGGGUGCAGCGUAAAAGGGGUACGCUCCCCUGUCCCCUUGCUGACCACCCUGUCUACCUGUAGCCCUGGCCUACACUCUGGAGGCUGACAGGGACCGCCGGCCGCCCCGGCUCCGCUUUGCCGGCAGUGAGUCCGCUGUCUUCCACGGCUUCUUCUCCAUGCCCGAGAUGCGCUGCCAGAAGCUGGAGCUGCUCCUGAUGGACAACCUCCGUGACAAACUCCGCCCCAUCAUCAUCUCCAUGAACUACUCUUUACCUUUGCGGAUGCCCGAUCGCCCCCGGCUGGGGCUGCGGUCCCUGGACGCCUACCCGAUCCUCAACCAGGCACAGGCUCUGGAGAACCACACUGAGGUCCAGUUCCAGAAGGAGUGCGGGCCUGACAACAAGUGUGAGAGCAACUUGCAGAUGCGGGCAGCCUUCGUGUCAGAGCAGCAGCAGAAGCUGAGCAGGUGGCUGUGGGCCGCCGGCCGCGUUAAUCGGCCAAGGGUGGGACGGGGCCUC
rnacentral:sRNA from 1 species